rnacentral:rRNA from 1 species
CCCUUAGAUGUCCGGGGCCGCACGCGCGCUACACUGAAGGAAUCAGCGUGGCUUUCUCCCUGACCCGAAAGGGUUGGGAAACCCGUUGAAUCUCCUUCGUGAUAGGGAUUGGGGCUUGAAAUUGUUCCCCAUGAACGAGGAAUUCCCAGUAAGCGCGAGUCAUAAGCUCGCGUUGAUUACGUCCCUGCCCUUUGUACACACCGCCCGUCGCUACUACCGAUUGAACGGUUUAGUGAGGGCCUCGGAUUGGCAGCAGUUGGUGGUUCGCCACCGGCUAUUGCUGAGAAGUCCUCCAAACCGCCCCAUUUAGAGGAAGGAGAAGUCGUAACA